rnacentral:rRNA from 1 species
GCGUGAGUGAUGAAGGCCUUAGGGUUGUAAAGCUCUUUCGCACGCGACGAUGAUGACGGUAGCGUGAGAAGAAGCCCCGGCUAACUUCGUGCCAGCAGCCGCGGUAAUACGAAGGGGGCUAGCGUUGUUCGGAAUUACUGGGCGUAAAGGGCGCGUAGGCGGCCCUGUCAGUCAGAAGUGAAAGCCCCGGGCUCAACCUGGGAACCGCUUUUGAUACUGCAGAGCUUGAGUUCCGGAGAGGAUGGUGGAAUUCCCAGUGUAGAGGUGAAAUUCGU